rnacentral:rRNA from 2 species
CGAUGAAGAACGUAGCGAAAUGCGAUACUUGGUGUGAAUUGCAGAAUCCCGUGAACCAUCGAGUCUUUGAAUGCAAGUUGCGCCCGAAGCCAUUAGGCCGAGGGCACGUCUGCCUGGGCGUCA